UACGUAGGGUGCGAGCGUUAAUCGGAAUUACUGGGCGUAAAGGGUGCGUAGGCGGCAAAAUAAGACAAAUGUGAAAUGCCUAGGCUCAACCUGGGGACUGCAUAUGUGACUGUUUAGCUAGAGUGCAUCAGAGGGGGGUAGAAUUCCACGUGUAGCAGUGAAAUGCGUAGAGAUGUGGAGGAACACCGAUGGCGAAGGCAGCCCCCUGGGAUGCUACUGACGCUCGAGCACGAAAGCUAGGGGAGCAAACAGG
rnacentral:rRNA from 1 species